GGGUCAGUAGGUUGGUCGUGCCACCGGUACGUACUGGUCUCACUGAUUCCUCCUCCCUGAAGAACCGUAAUGCCAUUAAUUUGGUGUUGCGGGGAAACAGGACUGUUACUUUGAAAAAAUUAGAGUGUUUAAAGCAAGCUAACGCUUGAAUACAUUAGCAUGGAAUAAUGAAAUAGGACGAUCGAUCCCAUUUUGUUGGUUUCUAGGAUUGACGUA
rnacentral:rRNA from 1 species